AAGCUUUUUUCUCCCCUCAGCCGAGCCUAGAGGAGAGGGGCCAGGUGUCCUUCCCUAGGCCAGAGAUGUUUAAGUAGGGAGCCUCGCCUGGACAGUCCAAGCCUCACAUUU